AUGGAGAUCUUACUCCUAUUUCUGUGCGUCUUUUCAACGCUUAAGCAGGGAAUAGUCAAACCUCGAGAGUCCUUAACAUUGACCUGCACAGUCUCUGGUACCUUCAUCACUGAUGGAUAUCCUUACAACUGGAUCCGCAAGCCGCCAAGAAAAGGGCUGGAAUGGAUAGGAAGAGGAUACUACAGUAGCUCUACCUGGCGCACUAACUAUGCCUCAGCCUUCCAGAGCAGAGUCUCCAUCUCUCCUGACUCCUCCAAGAAUGAGAUUUCUCUCCAGCUGAGCUCCUUGACAGCUGCAGACACAGCCAUCUAUUAUUGUGCCCGAGAGCCACAUUAUUGUACAGACAACUGGAAAUCCUUAAGACUGACCUGCACAGUCUCUGGUGCCUCCAUCACUGAUGGAUAUGCUCACCACUGGAUCCGCCAGCCACCCAACAAAGGGCUGGAAUGGAUAGGAAGAAGAUACUACAGCAGUUCUACCUGGCACACUAACUAUGCCUCAGCCUUCCAGAGCAGAGCCUCCAUCUCUCCUGACUCCUCCAAGAAUGAGUUUUCUCUCCAGCUGAGCUCCUUGACAGCUGCAGACACUGCCAUCUAUUACUGUGCCCGAGACACACAGUGA